rnacentral:lncRNA from 1 species
GCAUGAUCCCUGCCCUCUGUAUGCCUUGUCCAGUCACCUGCCAUCUACCACUGUGCAUCUCUGGACUGCUCUGAUGCUGAAUGCCCUUAACUGUCCAUACCCACCUGAUAGAGAACAAGAACUUUUGUGUACUUCCCCCAACUUCGCCCCCUUUCAGCAGAAGCAGUUUGGAGAUAUUGUCACCCAUUUUUCCAUAGAAAUGGAAUGUAGAAAUAGACAGUGGGAUAAUGUAAAAGUGGUCUACUUUAUACUUUGAAUAUAGCCCUUGCAGCUCUGCCACUGCAACUUAUUAUUAUCAUUAUUAUUUGUGUGGUGCUGGGGAUUAAACCCAGGGCCUUGUACAUUCGAGGCAAGCACUCUACCAACUGAGCUAUAUCCCCAGCCCUACACUGCAACUUAUUUUUAAAAUGGACAGGUUUCUUUCUCUUCCUGUCUCCCUGUUCUCUCCUAAUCUCUCCCCCUCACUAAUCUCAGAGGAAACAGGAUUGCCUUUCUUCUGCAUCAUUGGCAGAUUUUUCUCUCCUUGAGUACAUACCCACCAUAGGAAUGAAGUAAUCCAGACUUUGGGGAUGGUACCAGAAGAUCACAGAAAUGACUCUCUCUCAAAUUAGCAAGAGAAUUACAACUCCAACAGAGAACAUGUGGAAUAUAGUCUUUGAGUCACCUCUUUAAAAGCCCCCUGUUUCUGCUGAUGGAAAGAAACACAGCCUUU